rnacentral:pre_miRNA from 1 species
UAGGGCUGUCUUAAGUCAAACUAUCUUAAGCUUGACCAAAUUUAUAAAGAAACGCAACAAUAUUUAUGACACCAAAUAGGUAUAUGAAAAUAUAUUUCAAAUCUAAUGGUACCUAUUUGGUAUCAUAAGUACUGGCAUUUUUUUGUAUAAACUUGGUCAAACUUAGGAUGAUUUGACUUAGGACAAAGCUAA